rnacentral:rRNA from 1 species
UACGUAGGGCGCAAGCGUUACUCGGAAUUACUGGGCGUAAAGCGUGCGCAGGCGGCUUUGCAAGACAGAUGUGAAAUCCCCGGGCUCAACCUGGGAACUGCAUUUGUGACUGCAUGGCUAGAGUGCGGCAGAGGGGGAUGGAAUUCCGCGUGUAGCAGUGAAAUGCGUAGAUAUGCGGAGGAACACCGAUGGCGAAGGCAAUCCCCUGGGCCUGCACUGACGCUCAUGCACGAAAGCGUGGGGAGCAAACAGG